GACGAACGCUGGCGGCGUGCUUAACACAUGCAAGUCGAACGGAAAGACCCUGCUUUUGUGGGGUGCUCGAGUGGCGAACGGGUGAGUAACACGUGAGUAACCUGCCCUUGACUUUGGGAUAACUUCAGGAAACUGGGGCUAAUACCGGAUAGGAGCUCCUGCUGCAUGGUGGGGGUUGGAAAGUUUCGGCGGUUGGGGAUGGACUCGCGGCUUAUCAGCUUGUUGGUGGGGUAGUGGCUUACCAAGGCUUUGACGGGUAGCCGGCCUGAGAGGGUGACCGGCCACAUUGGGACUGAGAUACGGCCCAGACUCCUACGGGAGGCAGCAGUGGGGAAUAUUGCACAAUGGGCGGAAGCCUGAUGCAGCAACGCCGCGUGCGGGGUGACGGCCUUCGGGUUGUAAACCGCUUUCGCCUGUGACGAAGCGUGAGUGACGGUAAUGGGUAAAGAAGCACCGGCUAACUACGUG
rnacentral:rRNA from 1 species